GUUAGGAAUAUUGGACAAUGGGCGCAAGCCUGAUCCAGCCAUGCCGCGUGAGUGAUGAAGGCCUUCGGGUUGUAAAGCUCUUUAGCCGAUGAUUAUAAUGACUGUAGUCGGAAAAUAAGCCCCGGCUAACUUCGUGCCAGCAGCCGCGGUAAUACGAAGGGGGCGAGCGUUAUUCGGAAUCACUGGGCGUAAAGCGUGCGUAGGCGGCUUUGCAAGUUGGGAGUGAAAGCCCAGGGCUCAACACUGGAAUUGCUCUCAAAACUGCAAGGCUCGAAUUCGGGAGAGGAUAGCGGAAUUGUCAGUGUAGCAGUGAAAUGCGUAGAUAUUGACAGGAACACCAGUGGCGUAAGCGGCUAUCUGGACCGAUAUUGACGCUGAGGCACGAAAGCGUGGGGAUCAAACAGGAUUAGAUACCCGGGUAGUCC
rnacentral:rRNA from 1 species